rnacentral:rRNA from 1 species
AGGACGAACGCUGGCGGCGUGCUUAACACAUGCAAGUCGAGCGGAAAGGCCCUUCGGGGUACUCGAGCGGCGAACGGGUGAGUAACACGUGAGCAACCUGCCCUUAGCUCUGGGAUAGCUCCGGGAAACCGGAAUUAAUACCGGAUACGACCUAGGCCGACAUCGGCCAUGGUGGAAAGUUUUUCGGCUAGGGAUGGACUCGCGGCCUAUCAGCUAGUUGGUGGGGUAAAGGCCUACCAAGGCGACGACGGGUAGCCGGCCCGAGAGGGCGACCGGCCACACUGGGACUGAGACACGGUCCAGACUCCUACGGGAGGCAGCAGUGGGGAAUAUUGGACAAUGGGGGCAACCCUGAUCCAGCCAUGCCGCGUGAGUGAUGAAGGCCUUCGGGUUGUAAAGCUCUUUUGGCGGGACGAUAAUGACGGUACCCGCAGAAUAACGCCCGGCUAACUUCGUGCCAGCAGCCGC